AGAAUCAACGCUGGCGGCGUGCCUAACACAUGCAAGUCGAACGCGAAAGUCCCGAAAGGGAUAAGUAGAGUGGCAAACGGGUGAGUAACACGUGGGUGACCUGCCUUCAAGUGGGGGAUAACGUCCCGAAAGGGACGCUAAUACCGCAUAACAUGCUGUCUUUUAACAGGCGGACAUCAAAGCUGGGGAUCGCAAGACCUAGCGCUAGAAGAGGGGCCCGCGCCUGAUUAGCUAGUUGGUAGGGUAAUGGCUCACCAAGGCGACGAUCAGUA
rnacentral:rRNA from 1 species